AUGGAUGUGGUGCGGGUCAUGGAUGUGGUGCGGGUCAUGGAUGUGGUGCGGGUGAGUGUGAUGAGCAUGACGAGAUUAAAUUGUUUGUCAACCGCUCGCACGCUAUAUACAACUGAGAUUAAGCUCGUUUUCUCUUUAGUAUUUGAUAUUUAACUAAAACUUUAAUGCCUGCAUCCAAAUGGAGAUUAUUUUUGUUACUAGCAUUAACUUUCAUUCAGUCAUUCAUUCUCCUGCUGGGACCCAAACCAACCAGAGACCUUCAAUCAACCCAACUCAGACAACUGUUUGCCCUCCUGCUCGGUGCCACAGGAUCUCCAUUCCAGGACCAGCAGGCUCAAGAACAGCUUUCUCUCCUCAGCUGACACCUUGCUGAAGUCUUGUGCGUGCAAGGUAAUAACGGUACAUCACCACCCAGGGCCUGCUGCCAUAUCUGGCAAAUGGCAUGGGAGCACGGCGUCUACAAUGUCGUCAUGGUGACGCAAUGUGUGGAGAAGGGAUGGACAGAGAGCCUCUGUACUAUGGUGACCUGGUAAUUCAGAUGCUGUUUGAGUCUGUCCUGCCAGAGUGGACCAUCAGAUAGUUCAAGAUCACCUCGGAGAGCGGCUGCAGUUACCCUCGAAUGCUGCGUCACUUCCACUACACUGUGUGGCCCGAUCACGGAGUCCCAGAGAGCACUGAUCCAGUUUGUUUGGACGGGCCUGGACUACGUGGACCAAUCACCCAGCACCGGAGUCACCGUGGGACGCUUUGGAUAGGGUUCUGCAGCAGUUGGACUCUGAAGGAAACAUCGACCUGUACGGCUGUGUGUUGGGCCUGCACCGCCAACACAUGGUCCAAACUGAGGAUCUCCAUUCCAGGACCAGCCGGCUCAAGAACAGCUUUCUCUCCUCAGCUGACACCUUGCUGAAGUCUGCACCUCUGUGACAGCAAACAUACACACUGUUAAUACUGCUCAUGCUCUAUAUAUCUAAUGUAUUCAUACCCCUUACUGUUUAUUCUACAUGCAAUAUUUUAAUCACUUUUUAAGCUGUACAUACAUGCAUUUCUUUGUCUCAGUACCUGCACUUUGUACAAUGGCAAUAAAGUUUAAUAUAACAAUUUAA